rnacentral:sRNA from 1 species
GUCGUGAGAUGUUGGGUUAAGUCCCGCAACGAGCGCAACCCCCGUUGCAUGUUGCCAGCGGUUCGGCCGGGGACUCAUGCAAGACUGCCGGUGACAAACCGGAGGAAGGUGGGGAUGACGUCAAGUCCUCAUGCCCCUUAUGUCCAGGGCUACACACGUGCUACAUUGGCGCAUACAAAGGGCUGCGAUACCGCGAGGUGGAGCGAAUCCCAAAAAGUGCGUCUCGGUUCGGAUUGGAGGCUGAAACUCGCCUCCAUGAAGCCGGAGUUGCUAGUAAUCGUGAAUCAGCAACGUCACGGUGAAUACGUUCCCGGGCCUUGUACACACCGCCCGUCACACCACGAAAGCGGGCAACACCCGAAGCCGGUGGCCUAACCCCUCGGGGAGGGAGCCGUCGAAGGUGGGGCUCGUGAUUGGGGUGAAGUCGUAACAAGGUAGCCGUAGCGGAAGCUGCGGCUGGAUCACCUCCUUUCUAGGGAGCUCCUUCUAGGAGCGUGCCGGCGUCCGCAUGGACGUUCCGGCCCACCUAGCAUGUCGACCGGACUUGGGCGAAGCGCGCGUUUCUCGAGGUACGCCUCGGGUAUGCGCACACAUGCUGUUGAGUUUUGAGAGACCGGCCGCGUCCGGCGCCUCCCGUUCGGACGGAGGCAUCACGCGCGGCUUUGGCGCCUCUCGCCGGACCUUGAAAACUGCACAGUUGGCCAAAUCAAAGUUGGGUAUCACCGGUCCGGACCUUCGGGUCCGGCCCGAUCACCGUCAAGAUAAUAAGGGCACACGGUGGAUGCCUUGGCACCAGGAGUCGAUGAAGGGCGUGGACGACUGCGAUAAGCCACGGUGAGGCGUUGAACAGCCUUUGACCCGUGGAUUC